UACGUAGGGUGCAAGCGUUAAUCGGAAUUACUGGGCGUAAAGCGUGCGCAGGCGGCCAUGCAAGACAGAUGUGAAAUCCCUGGGCUUAACCUAGGAACUGCAUUUGUGACUGCAUGGCUAGAGUACGGUAGAGGGGGAUGGAAUUCCGCGUGUAGCAGUGAAAUGCGUAGAUAUGCGGAGGAACACCGAUGGCGAAGGCAAUCCCCUGGACCUGUACUGACGCUCAUGCACGAAAGCGUGGGGAGCAGACAGG
rnacentral:rRNA from 1 species